rnacentral:rRNA from 1 species
UCCGUAGGUGAACCUGCGGAAGGAUCAUUACCGAGUGAGGGCCCUCUGGGUCCAACCUCCCACCCGUGUUUAUUUUACCUUGUUGCUUCGGCGAGCCUGCCUUUUGGCUGCCGGGGGACGUCUGUCCCCGGGUCCGCGCUCGCCGAAGACACCUUAGAACUCUGUCUGAAGAUUGUAGUCUGAGAUUAAAUAUAAAUUAUUUAAAACUUUCAACAACGGAUCUCUUGGUUCCGGCAUCGAUGAAGAACGCAGCGAAAUGCGAUACGUAAUGUGAAUUGCAGAAUUCAGUGAAUCAUCGAGUCUUUGAACGCACUUGCGCCCUCUGGUAUUCCGGAGGGCAUGCCUGUCCGAGCGUCAUUGCUGCCCUCAAGCACGGCUUGUGUGUUGGGCUCCGUCCUCCUUCCGGGGGACGGGCCCGAAAGGCAGCGGCGGCACCGCGUCCGGUCCUCAAGCGUAUGGGGCUUUGUCACCCGCUUUGCAGGACUGGCCGGCGCCUGCCGAUCAACCAAACUUUUUUCCAGGUUGACCUCGGAUCAGGUAGGGAUACCCGCUGAACUUAAGCAUAUCAAUAAGCGGAGGAA